AGAGUUUGAUCCUGGCUCAGAGUGAACGCUGGCGGCAGGCCUAAUACAUGCAAGUCGAACGGCAGCACAGCAGAGCUUGCUCUGUGGGUGGCGAGUGGCGGACGGGUGAGGAAUACGUGGGAAUCUGCCCAGUCGUGGGGGAUAACGUAGGGAAACUUACGCUAAUACCGCAUGCGCCCUUCGGGGGAAAGCCGGGGACCUUCGGGCCUGGCGCGAUUGGAUGAGCCCACGUCGGAUUAGCUAGUUGGCGGGUAAAGGCCCACCAAGGCGACGAUCCGUAGCUGGUCUGAGAGGAUGAUCAGCCACACUGGAACUGAGACACGGUCCAGACUCCUACGGAAGGCAGCAGUGGGGAAUAUUGGACAAUGGGCGCAAGCCUGAUCCAGCCAUGCCGCGUGAGUGAAGAAGGCCCUCGGGUUGUAAAGCUCUUUUGUCCGGAAAGAAAAGCGCCGGGUUAAUACCCUGGUGUCCUGACGGUACCGGAAGAAUAAGCACCGGCUAACUUCGUG
rnacentral:rRNA from 1 species